UAGUGAGAUGCGAUGUGAGGUCGGUCCAAAACAGCUAACAUUAAGAACACUAAACAAUAAAAUCAAUGGAGUUGGAUGUUACUUCUUUUACACGGAUAGCUUAGCUAAAACAUGUUUAUUUGGUAGCAAAAUAUAAAAGCUAUGGUUAUUGUUUACUAGAUAUUACUCCUCGUGUGUAAGCAAGAUAAAGUUUGUGUAAUAAUCUUGGAAGUGUAUCAAAACUUGAUAUUAUGACUCAUGACUUCUAUAUCUUAUUCGUUUUUUUGUUCGUUCGAAUGGUUGGUUAUCUACCAACUAUCAACUUGCAGUCCUAUACCAACUCAAAGAAUCUAUAACCUCUCCUCUAUUUAUGGAUAUAGAUGCGUCGACGUGAUUAUUUUUAUCUAACAAACAUGUGGAUGUUUUACAACCAUGAACCAUGAAACAACUUUUGAUAUUUAAUGUUCUGAUUUUUGAAAUGUUUAGGUUUUUAUUUUGCCUGUCUAAAUUAAACAUUAUAUGAAGAAAACAAAAUAUCAAAUGUUAUCUUUUAUUAGGUUAAGAACUCCGUCCAAGUUUCUAUUUUAAGACACGUAACGACGAUUUGUUUGGUGCCAUAUGCCUUUUAAGUUUCCAUUUUUACAUAAGUAGCUUGUAAAAAUGUUAUCGGUUCUGUUUGAUUCAGUUUAAACCAUGUAAUUUUUAACCAUUUCGGUUUGUAACCAGUUUGGAUCAAAUUAAUAUUGUGUAUUAUAAUUAUUAUUUUAAAAAGGAGAGAGUGAGAGAAAGAGUUGACAUUUGGAGCCAACAGGAGCUCAGAUGCACCGCGAUCACGAGAUUUUGAUUAAUUUAGGUGUAUUCUUUGUGUGAAUCAAGCAUGUUCGUUGUAGUGACAACGACGUUAACGUGCAUAUGAAAGCUAACCUCGAUAAUGUUGCUGGGUCACCAAUCGAGAUUGAACAACAUCAAGACCAAUCGAUAUUUAAUCAAGUUUAUAAAAUAAAAAGACUUAGAAUAUGUCCUACAUAUCUACCUAUUAGUAUAUUGUUUGCAUUAAUUAGUAAGUAUAUUCACGGUAAAUUUAACCAUGCUAUCUUUUUACGAGAGUCUACUUUUUUACUAUAUAAAGUUAGCAUGAUCUACAAGUUUAUUAAACGGAAGUGGUUAUGAAAUGACAUGAACAAGGAAAAGAAAAAGUAACUUAACAUCGAUGAUGAUGGUAUGAUGAUGGUACGGUAAUAGAACCCAUAAUGAACCAAGUCCAACCAAUAGGAGACUUUAAAUUGAGCUUACCAAAAAGAUAACCUUUUUCUUGAGAAAUUAAUGGAAUGGGUUGCAUGUAAAAUAAAUUGCGUGGGGUCUGUAUUGAUAAAGAGGACUUACAUGUAGUGAUGGCUCUUUCAAUUCAAUAGAUAUAAUACAUCUUUUACAAAAAAAAAAAAUAGUAUAAAAAACACACUAGGAAAUUUUGCAAUGGAAACUCUUGAUAUAUACAAAUUAUAAGUAAUUUUUUGGAAAAAAAUAAAUAAACAGUGUAUGUUUAAAAGAAAUUACUCCCCAUAAAAAUACAAUAACUUAAGUUUUUUUUUAACUAUAUAUACCUUGUUUUAACAAAUACUAGUAGAUAUUGUAAACUGAAACAAAAAAUGAUAGUGAAUAUUCAAAUUAUUAAAUUACUAUUUCUUCAUUGGUAACAAAAAAAUACAAAAAUAGAUAAAUGGAUACCCAAGAAAAAAUUAAAUGUUUAAAUCAUAUUUUUACAAUUUGUCUUAUUAAUUUCAAAAAUUUAAAUAUUCUAAUUCAUUUUAUUUUAUACGAAUAAUGAAUUAUUUAUUAUCAAAAUUAGGCAUUUUUUCUUCGGUAUAACAAAUAAACCCAUUUCCAUCUAAUCUGGUAUUUUUCUUCAUUUGGUCUUUUCAGAGAUAAAUAAAAAAGCAGCCAAACUUAAAUCAAUUCGAAACUGAUCAUUUAUCACCCCACUAAUAGAAAAGCAGCCUCCAUAAAUCCAAAUAAUAUUUUUAUUUUUUAAUAGAAGAGUAAUGUCUGAGAAAGCAUAAUAAGCGAUCAAACAUAUAAAAAAAUAAAACAAAUAACAAACAAACCAUCUCGCCGUGAUUCAUCAUCAUCUCCUCCGAUUCAACUCUCUCUCUCUCUCUUUGACUUCAGAUUCGAUCUCCGUCCCCAAAAUGGAGACUCCACCCGCGGAGGAGCUUCUCAAGAAGAUACGGGAGCUGGAGGAGAGCCAGGAGCAUCUCAAGCGCGAGAUGUCGAGGCUCAAGGUCUCGGCCGCCGAGGUUAAGCAGCAGCAGCAGCAGCGCUCGCAUUCAAUGUCUCCGCAACGGAGGAGAAACAGUGGCGGGGAAGGAGCAGGUGCCCCGAGGUGGAGGAAGAGCGGGACGGCGUCGUUUCGCCACGCUUCCCCGCUGCGCAAGGAGAGCCGUGGUGGUGGCGGCGAGGAGGAGGAGGGAAGAUCUGGUGGAGGAGGGAAGUUUACGGAGAAACAGUAUUUGAAUAUUUUGCAGUCUAUGGCGCAAGCUGUUCAUGUCUUUGAUCUUAACGGACAAAUCAUCUUUUGGAACGCAAUGGCGGAAAAGCUUUACGGCUUCUCAGCAGCAGAAGCACUUGGGAAGGACCCUAUCGAUAUUCUCGUAGAUAACCAAGACGCCGCGGUUGCACAGAACAUCACCCGCCGUUGCGGCUGCGGAGAGAGCUGGACCGGUGAGUUUCCCGUCAAGAACAAAGCAGGAGACAGGUUUUCGGUAGUGACUACAAUGUCUCCGUUCUACGAUGAUGAUGGCUCUCUUAUUGGGAUCAUAUGCAUCACAAACGACGCUGCUCUUUUUCAAGACCCGAGAGUCUCUCAAGCUAAGACAAGAGGGCAAGAAGGGGAAACGAGCUUUAGCCGGGUUGCAUCUAAGCUCGGUCUUGACUCCAAAGAGGCUGUUGUGUCGAAACUUGGGCUUGACUCUCAGCAGCCUAUACAAGUCGCUAUUAAAUCCAAAAUAUCAGAUUUGGCGUCCAAGGUGGGGAACAAGGUCAGGUCAAAGAUCCAAGCAGGUGAUAACAGCACUGCACACCUCGAAGGUGGAAGUGGGGACAGUCAUCAUUCAGAUCAAGGCUUCUUCGAAGCUGCUUUGUUUGAACGUAAGGAGGAUGCAGGCGCUAGCACUAGCACAGCGAGGGGAGAUUUUAUCCAAUCUCCUUUCGGUGUGUUCCUACGUAGCGAUGACAAGUCUUCUUCUUCAAAGCCCUUCAGAGAUUCAAGCGAUGAAAACGAGAUUCCUAAGACGCUUGCCUCGAAAGCUGAAGAGUGGAUGGCGAAGAAAGGGUUGUCAUGGCCAUGGAAAGGGAACGAGCAAGAGGGUUUGGAAGGGAGGCGGGGUCACCCCGUGUGGCCUUGGGUGCAGAAGGAACAAGGUCAUCAGAGUAAUAAGGCUGCUAGUAAUGAGGCUGCGGGCGGGUCUUGGUCUUCCCCUGUUAAUGUGAACAGCACGAGCAGUGCUAGCAGCUGUGGAAGUACUAGCAGCAGUGUUAUGAACAAGGUUGAUAUGGAUAGUGACUGCUUGGAUUAUGAAAUCUUAUGGGAGGAUUUGACAAUUGGAGAACAGAUUGGGCAAGGUUCAUGUGGAACUGUCUACCACGGUCUAUGGUUUGGAUCUGAUGUUGCUGUAAAGGUGUUCUCCAAACAAGAAUAUUCUGAAGAGAUCAUAACAUCUUUUAGACAAGAGGUAUCGUUGAUGAAAAGACUUAGACAUCCAAAUGUGCUACUGUUUAUGGGAGCUGUGACAUCUCCACAGCGUCUCUGUAUCGUGACAGAGUUCCUUCCACGUGGAAGUCUCUUCCGUUUGCUGCAGAGGAACACAUCAAAACUGGACUGGAGACGACGUAUCCAUAUGGCAUCUGACAUUGCUCGUGGCAUGAACUAUCUUCACCAUUGCAGUCCACCCAUCAUUCACCGUGACCUGAAGUCAUCAAAUCUACUGGUUGAUCGAAACUGGACAGUGAAGGUUGCUGACUUUGGUCUCUCGCGUAUUAAACAUGAGACAUACCUCACUACGAAGACAGGAAGAGGAACGGUAUUCAACAUAAGACUCUUACCAAAUUGUUUUCUCUUUUUCUUGGUCAAUUCUUCUCAUUAUGAAUUCAAUUGCUUCUUUUUUUACCUGUUUUGCAGCCUCAAUGGAUGGCACCGGAGGUUCUUCGAAAUGAAGCUGCUGAUGAAAAGUCUGACGUUUACAGCUUCGGAGUAGUACUAUGGGAGCUUGUGACUGAGAAGAUUCCGUGGGAAAAUCUAAAUGCUAUGCAGAAUACUUGCAGGUGAUUGGAGCUGUGGGGUUUAUGAACCAGAGACUCGAAGUCCCAAAGGAUGUUGAUCCUCAGUGGAUUUCUCUAAUGGAAAGCUGCUGGCAUAGUGAACCACAGUGCAGACCGACGUUCCAACAAGUUAUGGAGAAACUAAGAGAGCUUCAAAGGAAAUACACUAUGCAGUUUCAGGCAACCCGUGCUGCAUCGAUAGACAACUCUUCCCUCAAGGAAAAAUAAAA